CAGCCGCGGUAAUUCCAGCUCCAAUAGCGUAUAUUAAAGUUGUUGUGGUNAAAAAGCUCGUAGUUGAACCUUGGGCCGGGCUGGCCGGUCCGCCUCACCGCGUGUACUGGUCCGGCCGGGCCUUUCCCUUCUGUGGAACCCCAUGCCCUUCACUGGGUGUGGCGGGGAAACAGGACUUUUACUGUGAAAAAAUUAGAGUGCUCCAGGCAGGCCUAUGCUYGAAUACAUUAGCAUGGAAUAAUAGAAUAGGACGUGUGGUUCUAUUUUGUUGGUUUCUAGGACCGCCGUAAUGAUUAAUAGGGACAGUCGGGGGCAUCAGUAUUCAAUUGUCAGAGGUGAAAUUCUUGGAUUUAUUGAAGACUAACUACUGCGAAAGCAUUUGCCAAGGAUGUUUUCAUUAAUCAGGAACGAAAGUUAGGGNAUCGAAGACGAUCAGAUACCGUCGUAGUCUUAACCAUAAACUAUGCCGACUAGGGAUCGGACGGUGUUAUUUUUUGACCCGUUCGGCACCUUACGAGAAAUCAAAGUGCUUGGGCUCCAGGGGGAGUAUGGUCGCAAGGCUGAAACUUAAAGAAAUUGACGGAAGGGCACCACCAGGGGUGGAGCCUGCGGCUUAAUUUGACUCAACACGGGGAAACUCACCAGGUCCAGACACAAUGAGGAUUGACAGAUUGAGGGCUCUUUCUUGAUUUUGUGGGUGGUGGUGCAUGGCCGUUCUUAGUUGGUGGAGUGAUUUGUCUGCUUAAUUGCGAUAACGAACGAGACCU
rnacentral:rRNA from 1 species